rnacentral:rRNA from 1 species
CCUACGGGAGGCAGCAGUGAGGAAUAUUGGUCAAUGGACGCAAGUCUGAACCAGCAAUGCCGCGUGCAGGAAGACGGCUCUCUGAGUUGUAAACUGCGUUUGUACGAGGGUAAAAGAAGAUACGCGAAUCAGUCUGAAAGUAUAGUACGAAGAAGGAUCGGCUAACUACGUGCCAGCAGCCGCGGUAAUACGGAGGAUUCGAGCGUUAUCCGGAUUUAUUGGGUUUAAAGGGUGCGUAGGGGGUUGGUUAAGUCAGAGGUGAAAUCUCGCGGCUCAACUUCGGAAUUGCAUCUGAGACUGUUCGGCUAGAGAGUAGUUGCGGUAGGCGGAAUGCAUGGUGUAGCGGUAAAAUGCUUAGAGAUCACACAGAACACCGAUUGCGAAGGCAGCUUACCAAGCUACCUCUGACGUUGAGGCACGAAAGCGUGGGGAGCAAACAGGAUUAGAUACCCGAGUAGUC